rnacentral:rRNA from 1 species
UACGUAGGGCGCGAGCGUUAUCCGGAAUUAUUGGGCGUAAAGAGCUCGUAGGCGGUUUGCCGCGUCUGCUGUGAAAGCCCGGAGCUCAACUCCGGGUGUGCAGUGGGUACGGGUAGACUGGAGUGCAGUAGGGGAGACUGGAAUUCCUGGUGUAGCGGUGAAAUGCGCAGAUAUCAGGAGGAACACCGAUGGCGAAGGCAGGUCUCUGGGCUGUUACUGACGCUGAGGAGCGAAAGCAUGGGGAGCGAACAGG